rnacentral:rRNA from 1 species
CCGGCAUCGGUUUUUGAUCAAAUAUUUAUAGGAUAUGGAUGGGCUCGCGUGACAUUAGCUAGUUGGAGAGGUAACGGCUCACCAAGGCUACGAUGUCUAGGGGCUCUGAGAGGAGAAUCCCCCACACUGGUACUGAGACACGGACCAGACUCCUACGGGAGGCAGCAGUAAGGAAUAUUGGUCAAUGGAGGCAACUCUGAACCAGCCAUGCCGCGUGCAGGAUGACUGCCCUAUGGGUUGUAAACUGCUUUUGUCAGGGAAUAAACCUUUCUACGUGUAGGAAGCUGAAUGUACCUGAAGAAUAAGGAUCGGCUAACUCCGUGCCAGCAGCCGCGGUAAUACGGAGGAUCCAAGCGUUAUCCGGAUUUAUUGGGUUUAAAGGGUGCGUAGGCGGUCCUAUAAGUCAGUGGUGAAAGACGGCAGCUUAACUGUCGCAGUGCCUUUGAUACUGUAGGACUUGAAUCUAUUUGAAGUGGGCGGAAUAAGACAAGUAGCGGUGAAAUGCAUAGAUAUGUCUUAGAACUCCGAUUGCGAAGGCAGCUCACUAAGUUAGUAUUGACGCUGAUGCACGAAAGCGUGGGGAUCAAACAGGAUUAGAUACCCUGGUAGUCCACGCCCUAAACGAUGAUAACUCGAUGUUUGCGAUACACAGUAAGCGUCCAAGCGAAAGCGUUAAGUUAUCCACCUGGGGAGUACGGUCGCAAGAUUGAAACUCAAAGGAAUUGACGGGGGCCCGCACAAGCGGAGGAGCAUGUGGUUUAAUUCGAUGAUACGCGAGGAACCUUACCCGGGCUUGAAAGUUAGUGAAUGAUCCAGAGACGGAUCAGUCCUUCGGGACACGAAACUAGGUGCUGCAUGGCUGUCGUCAGCUCGUGCCGUGAGGUGUUGGGUUAAGUCCCGCAACGAGCGCAACCCCUAUGUUUAGUUGCCAGCACAUUAAGGUGGGGACUCUAAACAGACUGCCAGCGUAAGCUGUGAGGAAGGUGGGGACGACGUCAAGUCAUCAUGGCCCUUACGUCCGGGGCUACACACGUGCUACAAUGGACGGUACAGCGGGCAGCUACAUAGCAAUAUGAUGCUAAUCUCUAAAAGCCGUUCACAGUUCGGAUUGAGGUCUGCAACUCGACCUCAUGAAGUGGAUUCGCUAGUAAUCGCGUAUCAG